AUUGAACGCUGGCGGCAGGCCUAACACAUGCAAGUCGGACGAGUGGCGGACGGGUGAGUAAUGUCUGGGAAACUGCCUGAUGGAGGGGGAUCACUACUGGAAACGGUAGCUAAUACCGCAUACCAUCGGAUGUGCCCAGAUGGGAUUAGCUAGUAGGUGGGGUAACGGCUCACCUAGGCGACGAUCCCUAGCUGGUCUGAGAGGAUGACCGGCCCUACUGGAACUGGGACCCGGUCCAGACUCCUACGGGAGGCAGCAGUGGGGAAUAUUGCACAAUGGGCGCAAGCCUGAUACAGCCAUGCCCCGUGUAUGAAGAAGGCCCUCGGGUUGUAAAGUACUUUCAACGGGGAGGCGUUACCCGGAGCAGAAGCACCGGCUAACUCCGUGCCAGCAGCCGCGGUAAUAC
rnacentral:rRNA from 1 species